AAUGAACGCUGGCGGCGCGCCUAAUACAUGCAAGUCGAGCGAGAAGACGUAGCAAUACGUUUGUAAAGCGGCGAACGGGUGAGGAAUACAUGGGUAACCUACCCUAGAGUGGGGAAUAACUAGCCGAAAGGUUAGCUAAUACCGCGUACGCUCCUUGGACUUCGGUUCAGGGAGGAAAGCGAUGCCGAGGGUAUCGCGCUCUUGGAUGGGCUCAUGUCCUAUCAGCUUGUUGGNGAGGUAACGGCUCACCAAGGCUUCGACGGGUAGCUGGUCUGAGAGGACGAUCAGCCACACUGGCACUGCGACACGGGCCAGACUCCUACGGGAGGCAGCAGUAAGGAAUAUUGCGCAAUGGGCGAAAGCCUGACGCAGCGACGCCGCGUGGGGGAUGAAGGUCUUCGGAUUGUAAACCCCUUUCGGGAGGGAAGAUGGAACGAGCAAUCGUUCGGACGGUACCUCCAGAAGCAGCCACGGCUAACUUCGUGCCAGCAGCCGCCGU
rnacentral:rRNA from 1 species